GAUGAAGAACGCAGCGAAAUGCGAUAAGUAGUGUGAAUUGCAGAAUUCCGUGAAUCAUCGAAUCUUUGAACGCACAUUGCGCCUUCUGGUAUUCCGGAAGGCAUGCCUGUUCGAGAGUCAUUAACAACCGUUUCGAUCCCUUUCUUUCAGAAAUUACAAAGAGGAAAAGGGUUUGGUUAUGGUGGAGGAGGGAAAGGGAGCGUUUAGCCUGUAAAAAAAGAGGCUGUGUUCCGCCUCCCCCCCAAAAUUGUACAGGCGGUCGUGUGCGCCCACGCAUCGAGGUGUUGUAAAAGCUGCCACGGCACUUUUCACCUGUGCAGUGCGAGAUUGGCCAGCCGGUUUAAAAACCCCUCCAAACAAUCAAAGGUUGACCUCGGAUCAGGUAGGGAUACCCGCUGAACUUAAGCAUACAAUAAGCGGAGGA
rnacentral:misc_RNA from 1 species